rnacentral:misc_RNA from 1 species
GGAAGGAUCAUUAUCGUACAACGAGUGGCACCGGGGCUGUCGCUGACCAAAAAUGGUCGUGCACGCCUCGAGUGUUCUCUCAAACCACAUCCAUCUCACCUUUGUGCAUCACCGCGUGAGCUCCACCCAAAAAGGGGCUUGCGUCAUUUUUCUUUCACACACCCCACUAGUGUAGAAUGUCCUCAUCUUGCGAUUAGUACGCAGUCAAUACAACUUUCAACAACGGAUCUCUUGGCUCUCGCAUCGAUGAAGAACGCAGCGAAAUGCGAUACGUAAUGUGAAUUGCAGAAUUCAGUGAAUCAUCGAAUCUUUGAACGCACCUUGCGCCCCUUGGUAUUCCGAGGGGCACACCCGUUUGAGUGUCGUGAACUCCUCAACCUUCACUGUUCUUUUUGAUCAGCGAAGGCUUGGACUUUGGAGGCUCUUGCUGGUCUCUACCCUGAAGCCAGCUCCUCUGAAAUGGAUUAGCAGGGUCACCUUUGCCGAUCCUAUGGACGUGAUAAGUUGCUUCUACGUCCGUUUGGGUUUGGCUUCCCUCGCCUUGCUCCUAAAUCCUCUUCAAAAAACUUUUGAACCCUUUGACCUCAAAUCGGGUGAGACUACCCGCUGAACUUAAGCAUAUCAAUAAGCGGAGGAAAAGAAACUAACAAGGAUUCCCCUAGUAACUGCGAGUGAAGCGGGAAAAGCUCAAAUUUAAAAUCUGGCGGUCCUUGGCCGUCCGAGUUGUAAUUUAGAGAAGCGUCUUCCGCGCCGGGCCGUGCACAAGUCUCCUGGAAUGGAGCCUCAUAGAGGGUGAGAAUCCCGUCUCUGGCAUGGACCUCCGGUGCUUCUGUGAUGCGCUCUCAAAGAGUCGAGUUGUUUGGGAAUGCAGCUCAAAAUGGGUGGUGAACUCCAUCUAAAGCUAAAUAUUGGCGAGAGACCGAUAGCGAACAAGUACCGUGAGGGAAAGAUGAAAAGCACUUUGGAAAGAGAGUGAAACAGUACGUGAAAUUGUUGAAAGGGAAACGCUUCAAGUCAGUCGCGUCGACCGAGACUCAGCCUUGCCUCGGCAUCGCGUACUUCUCGGCUGACGGGCCAGCAUCAAUUUUGUCCCUCGGAUAAUGGCGGGAGAAAGGUGGCACCCUUACGGGUGUGUUAUAGUCUCUUGUCGCAUGCGAGGGGUGGGAUUGAGGACCUCAGCACGCACCUUUAGGUGUCGGGGCUUCGGCCCACGUUACGUGCUUAGGAUGUUGGCGUAAUGGCUUUAAACGACCCGUCUUGAAACACGGACCAAGGAGUCUAACAUGCCCGCGAGUGUUCGGGUGGAAAACCCGUGCGCGAAAUGAAAGUGAAAGUUGGGACCUCUGUCGUGGAGGGCACCGACGCCCGGACCAGACCUUCUGUGACGGAUCUGCGGUAGAGCGUGCAUGUUGGGACCCGAAAGAUGGUGAACUAUGCCUGAAUAGGGUGAAGCCAGAGGAAACUCUGGUGGAGGCUCGUAGCGAUUCUGACGUGCAAAUCGAUCGUCAAAUUUGGGUAUAGGGGCGAAAGACUAAUCGAACCAUCUAGUAGCUGGUUCCUGC